rnacentral:rRNA from 1 species
UACGGAGGGUGCAAGCGUUAUCCGGAUUCACUGGGUUUAAAGGGUGCGUAGGUGGUGUGGUAAGUCAGUGGUGAAAUCUCCAAGCUUAACUUGGAAACUGCCGUUGAUACUAUCAUUCUUGAAUAUCGUGGAGGUAAGCGGAAUAUGUCAUGUAGCGGUGAAAUGCUUAGAUAUGACAUAGAACACCGAUUGCGGAGGCAGCUUGCUACACGAUCAUUGACACUGAGGCACGAAAGCGUGGGGAUCAAACAGG